GAGUUUGAUCUUGGCUCAGAUUGAACGCUGGCGGCAUGCCUUACACAUGCAAGUCGAACGGCAGCACGGGAGCUUGCUCCUGGUGGCGAGUGGCGAACGGGUGAGUAAUGCAUCGGAACGUAUCCUGGAGUGGGGGAUAACGUAGCGAAAGUUACGCUAAUACCGCAUAUUCUGUGAGCAGGAAAGCGGGGGACCUUCGGGCCUCGCGCUCUUGGAGCGGCCGAUGUCGGAUUAGCUAGUUGGUGAGGUAAAGGCUCACCAAGGCGACGAUCCGUAGCAGGUCUGAGAGGAUGAUCUGCCACACUGGAACUGAGACACGGUCCAGACUCCUACGGGAGGCAGCAGUGGGAACUUUGGACAAUGGGGGCAACCCUGAUCCAGCCAUGCCGCGUGAGUGAAGAAGGCCUGGUUGUAAGACGUCUUCGUCGA
rnacentral:rRNA from 1 species